UGGGAAGAAACUGUUACGCAGUCUGGUCGUGAGGGCCCGAAUGCUUCGGUACCUUUUUCCAGAGGGCAGGAGGGUGAAGAGUGUGUGUGAGGGGUAUGUGGGGUCAAAAAGACCAUAAUGAGUCACGCUCAAUGUGUGAUACUUGAGAGCCCUGCACCCACACACACACACACACACACACACACACACACACACACACACACACACACACACACACACACACACACACACACACAAACACACACACAGACAUACACACAGACACACACACAGACACACACACACACAAACACAACUCUCUUGCAUGCAUUUUUUUUGCAUUUUGAUUUAACACCAUGUCAUUUAGGCCCAUUGUUGCUGUUAUAAUAACCUUGACUCUAGUGGGAUGACAUUUUAUUUGGUUUUAAAGCAUGGCUAUAGGAGUUUCUGCUUCCAGAGUUCUACUGAGGAGAAGGAUGCAUUCAGCAUUCCAGAUCAUCUGAAACCUGCUCAGUGGGGUUGAGGUCAGGUCUCUGUUCAGAUCAAUCAAGUUCUUUCUCCCAGUAUUAGGAAACAGAAACCAUGCCUUCUUUGUGGAGCUUGCUUUAUGUUUAAGGGUAUUGUCAUGCUGGAACAGGUUUGGAAGGGGUAAAAAUGAAAUUAAUAUAAAUCUACAGCAUACAAAGACAUCCAACUAUGUGGCCACGAUUUGGACAAGAACCACAGUUGGGUUGAUGGUCAAUUAAUUCGUUUUGUAAUUGUAAUGUACAGUGUUACAUAAACAUAGGUACAGGAUUCACUGACAGAGGAAAUGAGCAACCCAAUAAAUUAUCAAUGUAAAAAAUGUAAUGAACUGAACUAAGAAUGUUAUGGACUACAGCCCUGUCUUUAUUUAUAAUUAAUGUUUACCCAUAUAAACAUGUCAAUAAUAUAAGCAAUUAUAAAUAUAUGCAACAAAUAUUAAAGCUGCAUUAAUUUGUUUAGCACAUGGCAUUCUUACAAUAUGUCAUUAUAUUAUAAAUGCUUUAGUAAACUUCAGACUGCAUUCUUAAUUUUUCUACACACAAACCAUCAUAGUAUAUUUAAUGGUCAUUAUCUCUCCAUUCAUCCAUCCAUCCACCCAUUCAUCUCUCCAUCCACCCAUCCAACCAUUCAUCCAUCCCUCCAUCUAACCAUUUGUCCAUCCAUCCAUCCAUGCACUCCAUUUUCUUUGCCCCUUAUCCUACAGAGGGUCACAUGGAGCCUAGAAUCAAUCCUUGGUGACUUAAGGCACAAGCAAGGGGACACCCUGCACCCUGUGGUGUCAGCAAGUGCACAAUCUAACAAAUACUCACACCAUGGAAAAUUUUGAGAUGCCAAUCAGCCUACAACACAUGUCUUUUGGACUGAGGAGGACACCAGAACACCUGGACAAAAUCCCUGAAACAUAGGAAGAACCUGCAAACUUGCAUGCAUUUCACAAGGCAAUAUUUAUUACUCUUGAUCUUGAUCAUAUUUAGCAUUGCAUCUGAAUUGUAUAUAAUAAAUAAAAAUCAUUUUCAAUAAAAUUAAUUACAAGAAAAUAAAUUACAUUUUUAAAUGGCCUGUGCUUAUAUAAUUUAGUAUGUAUUUGAUGUAAAGUGCAGGCUGUGUUAAACUAAUGCAUUACAAAAGAGGAGUACAGAGAGUCGUAAGUGGGCAUGUUGCCUCCUAUGAUGCUCACAAUGAAUUAUGGUUCAUUCAAGUUCAGCUCUGUCCAUUUAUUUGGCUUUCUGCUGUAAUGAGCAAGUGAUGACUAGAUGAUUACUGUUUCAAACAUGAAGUGAAGGUCAGAGUCUUUUAAUAACCCACAUCACCAACAUUAUUGUUGCAGCAACAUUAUGGGUUGAAGAGCAGAAUGUCACCUACAUAUACCUGCACAUACCUGCAUAUACCUGUUAAAUGAGUGUACACAUAGAGUACAAAUACAUUUCAAAUGAAAAGCUAAAUCUUACUUUUAUCAACAAGUGUAUUGUCCACAUUACAAAAAUAAACACUAAACUUGUUUUGCUCGUUUCUUCGUAUUUGCCGCACAUAGCCAAAUAGACGGAUUUCUGGGGGGAGGGGGGUAGUUCCUUGCUAAAGCAGCAGAGGGCAGGCGUCUAUCUGCAGGUGUUCUCAGGUGAACUUCGUCACUUACUUCUUCUUCAUUCUUUCCUUUUUUUUGUCCUCUUCGCAUUCCUUUUGCCUUCCUUCACCUUUGAUCUAUUUGCAUCCAGUCCAGCACUGCCUUCUGGACAAAUAAAAUGUGUUCUGUGUUUUAUGCUCACUCCUCCCUGAUGUUUGUCAGGUUUAAAGUGGUUUUAAGAUGUAGAUCAGUGAGUUUAUUUUAACUAAAACUCUAUUAUGUACAGCUUCCUCAGACCUGGACAAAUAAACACCACUUGGGGCCAUUUCCAAAAUAACCAGCCUAGUGGGCAGGAAGGGGUGGGUGUGAUGGUGGGGAGUAGCCGAGGCAUUAGGCUAUACUGGUUUUAAAGCUCAGCCAGCUGUUAUCUCAACAAUGUGUUCUAGCUGCAGAGGAAAUGCUGCUUUGACUUCACGUUUCCAUAUGUUCUUUCUCUGUUUGUCUGGCUUUUGUCCUUUUCUCUCCUCUUCGUUACCAUUAUCAGAUAUCAGUCCUCGCGUCUCUUUCUUUUAUCACUCGAGCAUGCCCUUGUUGUCACACACAUUCUUUAACUGUUUCUCCCCCCACAUUUUUUUGCAGUCUGACCCAAAUGACCUUCCACCCCUUAGCAGCUCUCUGAUGAAUUGGAAGGGGCCUGAACACAUUCUGGAAAAUAUCCCUGGGAGUUCCCAACCUCCUGUUUGUGCCUUACUCCAUCAGCCUCUGAUAACCUUUUAACGUCUUAAUGUCUUCUAUACACUCCACAUGGAGUCCCGCUCUCAGGUAGCUACUGCUAAAUCAGUAUAAUAAGCAGGUUUGGAUGCACUGAAUUGCUUACAUACACAACCCACACAAGCCUGCAUAAUCAGAGACCUCCACGCAGAUCUGUCCGCACUGUAAUAAACUGCUUCACAUGAAACCGCAAAAAUAAACAAAGGCCAACAGACUCCAAUUUGGAUUUUAAUGGUAUAGACCUUUCAGGGACAUCUCCGUGGAUUAAGGUGAUUGGUGCAGAGGUACAAAUAUAUGAACACAUUUACUCACAGUGACUAAAAGAGGAGGCGAUUGUCUUCCUAUUGCUGGCUAAAGUUCAUAGACACUACUAAAAAGGGUGUGGUGUAGCAGGGUUGGUCUUAUCAAUAAUGCAGCUCUCUGUGUUAAAGUUGAAUAGACUAGGAAAUUAAACGAUCAUGCUAUCAGCUCUGGCAACUGGAUAAUUCAUUUGGUGUUUGGCCAACCUAACAAAUGACACACAGUAGUAUUCAUAUUAGUAAUGAUUUGUUUGACAUAAAUGAGCUAGUGGCAGAACAUCAGUAGCAAGAUGACGAGCAAAUGCAAAUGUGCCUAAAGCAAACUCAAACUUUCUUUUCAUUCAUUUAUUCAGAACAAAAAGUCAAAGUUUAGAUGAAUUCUAAGCGACAACAUAAAAUCUAUAUAAGAUCACAGCUCUGUAUUUGGGCUUGUGCACAGUAAUGACUAAAGCAGGCUCUCAUUUCCUGUCAUUUCAUUUAGAUGUCGCCUUGGAAAAUGUUGGUCAUGAUUUCCAGACUAAACACAGUUUCUAAAUGUCCUGGGAAAUAUUCUUGUUAUUUUAUUUUAUUUUUUUUCAUUCUUUUCAUUUAUUUAUUUAUUUAUUUAUUGUUGCUCCAGUGCUCAGUGUGGAUUUGCGCUGUUUUUGGUUGAGAGACUUUGUAAUGUUACCCAGUCAGGAUCAAUGUGAAUGCGUGAGAGUGAAAGAGGAACAAGGGAGAGAGAGAGAGAGAGAGAGAGAGAGAGAGAGAGAGAGAGAGAGAGAGAGAGAGAGAGAGAGAGAGAGAGAGAAUCAAAACCAUAUAAAAGGCUUUGCAUAACAACGAACAUCCGUUGAGCAGCUGUGCCCUCUCUUUUUCUUGCUCUCAUUUUCUUGGCGCAGAUGAGAAACUGGAUUAAUGUAACAGGUCUUUAGGAAACUCCCUGUCAGUAAACAGCUUAUGUGGACAGAGCUAAGAUCCACAUUCCACUUGCCAAGCUAUGGUGGCUUGUUAGCAACACGUGCUGACACAAACAUCUGACAAGGUAGGGAGGGAUACAAACUCAUUUUGUGCACAAAACACUAGAUAUGUUUGUGCCCCGAUCACAAGAUAAGAUAAGAAUGUAAAAUAUUUUCAUACAGACACACCUAUUUUAAGGUGGAAAAAAUAACUCAAACACUUGAGCUGACUUUAACCUCCUACGACCUGGUGUCCACAUACGUGGUCAUCACUGCAUCUAAAAUGCAAGGCCAAACCAAAGCUCGGGUUUUAGGAGGUUAAAGCUGUUAUAUAAGAUAUUAAAUAAAAACUGUUUCGAGUCAGUUGAGCCUACUGUAAUGUGUUUCAGUGGCACAAGAGCUUGUCUUUUCUAUACAAAUAUAGAUGGAUGAGAUAUGGGUUGAAGUUUUCUAAACAAAAAAAGGGUUUAAUGAAUGACUUCCACAUUUGGAAACAAUAAAUACACAUUUAUUAUGUAUUAUUAUUAUUAUUAUUAUUAUUAUUAUUAUUAGUAGUAGUAGUAGUAGUAGUAGUAGUAGUAGUAGUAGUAGUAGUAGUAGCAGUAGUAGUAGCAGUAGUAGUAGCAGUAGUAAAGUAGUACUAAAUAAAGCAAUAAAUAAAAAGAAAAUAAAUAAACUAAUCCUUUCCAAUCCUUUCAUCCAGUUCUUUUGUGGAUGUUGCUAUUGUCUACGAUUUAUGGAGAACUUGGAUCACAUUCAAAUUGGAUCAAGAAAUGAGACAAUAACGAUUUCUUACUACAGGUUCCUGUUUCAGAAACAAAGACCGGGAUUCUGCACUGAAACAGAGGAAAGAACAGUCUGGUUAAACCAACAUUACUGACUAGAACAGAAAACCUAGCAAUGCAGAUAAAGGCUGUUUUGAUUCUAACCAAAUUACAGCUUUAUAAGUUAAAGACUUUCUAAAAUCUAUGUCUACAUCUGUGUAUGUUUGAUAUGUGGGUAGCAUGAAGUGGAUUCAUAUACUGUAGAAAAUUACACAACGAUUACAUGAGACAAUAAAUGUUGGGUUACUUAACAAACAUGUUAUUGUUAUUGUGAAAAAGAAAUUCAUUAUAAUUGCUUCAUUUGUGUUUCAUUUGGCUGCAUAGCAACACCGUCCUCUAAGGUUCCCUCAAUGUUGUUGAAUAACAUUUUAAAUCUGCCAGCUUUGGCUGAUGUGUGCUUAGUAUUUUUAAAUGUAUUCAAUAUUGUGAUUAUAUUGCAAGUUAGAAUAAAGCCUGGGGCAAUUAAAUCAUCGUACAUGUUUUGGGAAGUCUUUGGAAAUAAAAUAAAAGAAGGUUUUAAGGUCAUGCUGUAGGUCAUGAAGAUUAUAAUGCUUAAAAAGCUUAAAAUGUCCAAAACUCGUGAGGUGACUUUAACGAAGAGAGAAAUACCUUUAUUGUCCUUUACUAGAAAGCUCUUGAGAUGUUUUCACUAACAGCACAUUCAUAGAGCUUUGAGGAAGUUGUACUGUGUAAACCAAACAUAUUACUAUAACACUUCAUAAUAAUUGUUUAUGAAUAAUCCUACACUAAUACCUGAAUUCAUAUUUAUUAAAUAUGAAAUAUUGAUGCGGUAUGUACUAAUCAACAACUGAUGAAGAGCUAACCUUAACUACGACAUGAGUCUUAUGAAUUCAAGCAUGAAUAACGACCACCUACACCAGUACAUGCUAGUGCAUUGUGUUAGUUAAUGUAUUAAUUAACGUGUAUGUAUGUACUGAAUGUAUGUAUGUACUGUAUGUAUGUAUGUAUGUAUGUAUGUAUGUAUGUAUGUAUGUAUGUAUGUAUGUAUGUAUGUAUGUGUGUAUGUAUGUAUGCAGGUUUCAUUGACCCCUACAUGUGAAUUACUACCUUAACUAACAAAUAUUUGCUA